GCUGGGCAUGGUGGCACACGCCUGUAAUCCCAGCCACUUGGGAGGCUGAGGCAGGAGAAUUGCUUGAACCCAGGAGGCAGUGGUUGCAGUGAGCUGAGAUCAUGCCACUGCACUCUGGCCUGGGUGACAGAGCAAGACUCUGUCUCAA
rnacentral:SRP_RNA from 2 species